rnacentral:rRNA from 1 species
UAGAAAUGGACGAAAGUCUGAUCUAGCAACACCGCGUGUGCGAUGAAGGUCUUCGGGUUGUAAAGCACUUUUUGGAAGGAUUAGGAAGGAAUGUACUUCCAGAAUAAGUCUCGGCUAACUACGUGCCAGCAGCCGCGGUAACACGUAGGAGGCGAACGUUAUCCGGAUUUACUGUGCGUAAAGCGGAUGUAGGUGGUUCUGAAAGUAGGGCGGAAAAGCUCCUGGCUCAAGUGGGAGAGGCCGAUCUAAACUGCAG